GACGAACCGUGCGAACGUUAUUCGGAAUCACUGGGCUUAAAGGGCGCGUAGGCGGGCCGCAUAGUCAGGGGUGAAAUCCUCCAGCUUAACUGGAGAAGUGCCUCUGAUACUGGCGGCCUCGAGGGGUGCAGGGGCGUGCGGAACUUAGGGUGGAGCGGUGAAAUGCGUAGAUAUCCUAAGGAACACCGGUGGCGAAGGCGGCACGCUGGACACCUUCUGACGCUGAGGCGCGAAAGCCAGGGGAGCAAACGGG
rnacentral:rRNA from 2 species